rnacentral:rRNA from 1 species
AGAGUUUGAUCCUGGCUCAGUACGCUGCGGCGUGCCUUACACAUGCAAGUCGAGCGAGAAAGUUCCUCCGGGGACGAGUAAAGCGGCGAACGGGUGAGUAAUACACAGGAAUCUACCUUUUAGUGAAGAAUACCUCCGAGAAAUUGGAGUUAAUGCUGCAUACGUCCCUUCGGGGAGAAAGAUGGCCUCUUUGCUGUCGCUGAAAGAUGAGCUGUGCGCUAUUAGCUAGUUGGUGGGGUAAAGGCCCACCAAGGCGAUGAUAGCUAGCCGGCCUGAGAGGGUGACCGGCCACAUUGGGACUGAGAUACGGCCCAGACUCCUACGGGAGGCAGCAGUGAGGGAUAUUGUGCAAUGGGCGAAAGCCUGACACAGCGACGCCGCGUGAAGGAUGAAGGUCUUCGGAUCGUAAACUUCUGUUAAGUGGGAAGAAAGACCUGUUUAUAAUACAGACAGGGGAUGACGUUCCACUAGAAAAGCACCGGCUACUUCGUGCCAGCAGCCGCGGUAAUACGAGGGGUGCAAGCGUUAUUCGGAAUUACUGGGCGUAAAGGGUGUGUAGGCGGCAUGCUAAGUCAACUGUUAAAGACCCCGGCUCAACCGGGGAACAGCGGUAGAAACUGGCAAGCUAGAGGGUGAAAGAGAGAAGCGGAAUUUCUCGGAGUAGCGGUAAAAUGCGUAGAUCUCGAGAAGAACACCGAUGGCGAAGGCAGCUUCUUAGUUCACAUCUGACGCUAAUGCACGAAAGCGUGGGGAGCAAACAGGAUUAGAUACCCUGGUAGUCCACGCUGUAAACGGAUGAUCACUAGACGUUAGUCCGGCUUUGCUGGAUUAGUGUCGCAGCUAACGCAUUAAGGAUCCGCCUGAAGAGACGGCGGCCCCCAAAAA